UGAACGGAUCAUACGUAUUCCCCUUAUUGUUGAGGUGGUCAAUGAAAAGAAAUAACCAUAGAAGUAUACCUACUAUGUUAGAGGAAAUUCGUCUACUUAUUAAUACAAAAGCUGGGUCUGAGUUUCAAUGGAUACCUUAUGCAAGCG